AAUAGUUUAAUAUUAAAUGCAUUAAAGUAAUAUAAAGUUUUAAGGUAAAAAUAAAUAGAUAUAUAUCAGAAUAUUAAAAAGUAAUAUAGUGGUAAGGAAUUAAUAUAAAUAACUUUGGAUUUUGGGAUUGAUUGGCAUAACUGUACAGAUUAAUUAAUUUGUGAAAGUUAUUGACUUAUUUAAGAUUCAAUAGAAGUCAUAGAAGGGCAGAUUACAGGGAAGAAUAGGGACUGUGACAGAAUCUAGAAAAAUAGUGAGCAUUGAAUGGUGUUGUGGGAUAAGAUAGAAAGAAUAUUAGGACAACAAACCAAAUUAAUUCACAAAAUGACAAGCAUUACAACAACAGUAGUGAAGACUGGGAAGAAAUCCACCCCGACAACAGUUACAGUGAUCUCAUCACCAUCUACACAAAGAUCCAUUGAAGGAAUGCUCACAAUGGAGAAAACAACAGCUACAAUGACUACACAGACCAUGCAAGCUACACUGUUAACAAAUCAGGAGACAAUGAUGAAAUUACAGGAAAACAUGACUAAGUACCAUGGAGAAGUGAAAACAGAGAUGGAGGAGGUGAAGAGACAAGUGAGAAAGGAUAUCCAAAAGUUGGAUGAGAAAGUUGGCCAGAUACAAGAAAUUCUACAAGAAUGAACAAAGACUCCAAACGAUUGAAAAAAGAACGGAAAAAACAGAAAGAAAAUUAGAGUCAGUAGACCAAAGAAUGCAAAAAAGAGACAAAGAAGUAGAGAACCCACUGAUACAGUUGGAGAUGAAGAGGGCCUCAUUCUCCUUACGUUUCCAGAAUGUGGUAGAGAUGAAGGAGGCAGACCUGACAGACAUAAUGGCAGAGACUACUGCGGAAGCACUUCAAAGAGAGAAGAGUGAGAUAAUCAAUGAAUUAGAUGAAGUCUACCGACUCUAUACAAAUUAUGCCAGAAGAUUCAGACUACCAAAGGAGGUUCACAUUCGUUUUGCUUGGAAAAAGGUGAGGGACAUAAUUUACAAGAUUACUAGAGAGGAACCUAUGACAUAUAAAGGUAAAGAGAUCAUAACAUUAAAACAGGUCCUGAAAAGAGUUCAAGAACAAAGGAAAGAUUAUCACUUUCUGGCUGCCUGACUCAACAAAAAAAAAUAUUGUUUAGGUGGAUUACACCAGAGGGAAUGUUGGUGUCAUGGCAAGGGAAGAAAAUUAGGCUUGAUA